rnacentral:rRNA from 1 species
AUGAACAAGAGGUCAUUCAAGUAUGCGUGGGUGCUCGACCAGCUGAAGGCUGACCGUGAGCGGGGUAUCACCAUUGAUAUUGCCCUGCGGAAGUUCAAGACCACCAAGUACUACUGCACUCUCAUGGAUGCCCCUCGACACCUUGAUUUCAUCAAGACUACACCACUGGUUGUUUCUCCUAGGAUGGCUGGACCUGUCAGCACGCCCUCCUUGCUUUCACUCUUGGAGUGA